CACCUGCUGUUACCACGACGACACGCUGUCCCUGGGCUCCACCUGCCCGAGCAAUGGAACACACCUCAACACCGUCUACACACACGGCUCCCAGUACGGCUGGGAGGUCAGCGAGGUCAGCCUGGCGGAGUGUGUGGUGGAUUCUGGGAAAGCCAGUGACCUGUCAAUCUGCAGCUGGCCUAUAGAACCCAUCCAGUGGACCCCCUUCCCCCUGCUGAAGCAACUAUCCUCCUCACACAGAACCACCCCGGUGAGGGCGCCGCGUCCUCGCUCCUACUGUGAAGGCAUGGAACUGGUGGAAGUAGAAAAGAGCUGGACAGCCUAGCAACCACGGAACCAUUUAUUGGAGUCAGUCGGCCUAGCAACCACGGAACCAUUUAUUGGAGUCAGUCGGCCUAGCAACCCCGGAACCAUUCAUUGGAGUCAGUCGUGAGGAAAAGUUGAACAACUGAAUCACUGAAUAAACUGUAUCACUGAAUCACUGA